UGGACACUGGCAGGAAGGCCACGGAGACGCCAGCGCCACGAUGGCAGGGCCCGCGUGACCACCGCGGCGAGGCCGGGACCCACGGGAAUAAAGAGCUCCACUGAAGAAGCUUAUGGAACUCCCGAAGGUUGGAGAUGUUGCGGAGAAGUUGGGGCCGUGGAACUUAGAAAUCAAGAAUUAGCCGAGUGACACACCGUAACCCCCUACAGAUGCUUCCUUGUUUCAGGUGGACCCACCCUGGCCUCCAGAGGAAAUAUUUUCAGGGCAUCUUUUUUGACUGGUUUGCUAAGAGGCACUGUGAUACCUUUUAAUAAUGUCUACAUUAAUUUAAAAAGGCAAAGGUGUGAAAACCAAGCAUGCCAUGGUAUCAACUGCUUUCAGUCCUCUGAAUCAAAGUUCUGGAACCCCAAGAUGGUGUUCUCUAUCCCUGGGGCUCGCACCUGCAUGCACACUUCUCAGCAUCACGCACUGUGCACCCGGCACUGGUGGCUGCUUUGAUGACUCAGCACGUUUCCAGUCACUGGAGGGCUCCUCUGUUACUCCACUUACGCCAUUCCCCCUGGGUGGCAAACAAGCGCAAAUACCAUGAAACGAUAAGUGGGAGCUGAAAUACUGCUGAAGUCCUUUUCUUGUACGGGGACCGUUUUGGAGAGGCAGGUCCUGUCAUCAGCGUUCCGGCUCCCAGCUGUGCGGAAUCUCCAGGAAGGAGCCGGGGUCUGGGCUCUGCAGCUCAGGCCCCGCCCUGACCUGUGUCAUCUGUGCCCAGAAGCGGCACCAGUUCAGCUCUGUGCAAAGGGCAUGUUUGCCAGGAGGGGCAGCCUCCGGGUGGCUGGGAGCCCAGGGUCAGAUCCUUGUUGAUAUGGAGUUGGUGUGACCAGAUGCUGAGCCGGCUCACAGCAUCCAGAGUAAAGAAAACAGCCUUCAGAUUCAGAACCUUAUGAGAGAAACUGAGUCCAUGACGACAGCCCAAAGAACACUGUCACCGGACAAGUCUCUCAAAGCUUUCGGUGUUUUAUCAAAUGUCCCUCUUCAAGAACAACUUUAUUGGAGAGAAGAAUGUGGAGGGGAGAGAAAUGAUUUUUUCAAUGGUAAAAUAGUUCAAUGUAAAAUAGUUCUAACCAGUUCACAUUGGUAUAUUGUGUAUUCAUUUAGUAUGAUAUUCUAUUUUUGUAACUGUUUUACUAGAAGAGUAGGUCUUUGACUUAAAUAUUUAUUUUUACACAGUUAUCAAGUCUUCAAAUAGUUUUAUUCACGUCACAUAAUUUUAGUUUUACCAGAAUAAUACCACAUCCUGUUCUCCUACUUUCUCCUGCUUCUCUUUUCGUAUUUGCUGUCUAAUUGCAUUUCAAUUUUUGACUGUGAGCAGUGCUCUCUGCUCUGCAGAGUGCUCUGAGCGGACAGCUGUUUGCACACAGCCCAGGUCUGUGCGUUGGAGGCUGUGCAGGCGGACAAUGGGCCUUUCUCAGUUUGGAUCCGUCGAAAGACAGUGAAUCCCUCCGUCACUCCUAUGAAAUGCUGCUGUUCCCGGGGCUGCACUUUGUUAAACACAACAGUGUCAGGGAUGAGAGUUUUUGAGGGGUCUUCUGCACCCCAUCCCAUCUGCUCUUUUGCAGCUGUCCCAGGAAUUUUAUGCAAAAGCUUUUAAGUAAAAUUGCUUUGUGCCUUUAUACACUCAGAGUGGGAUGAACUGAAACUAAGGUCAAAUUUAUGUUAGUGGUGCAGCUUCAUCUUCCGUAGAAUAGAUGAAAAAUAUUUUUAAAAAAAUUGGUUUUUGUUUUAAAACUACCAAGAUCUUCCAGAAGCAUUUGCACUUGGGUGGGGACACGGUGGGGGGGUGGGAGAGGGUGCGGGGGAGGAAAGGAUCCCUCAGAGUGAAUUCUGGAGGAGAUGUCAGAUGCGUGAGGAUCAGGCAGAGUGUGUGCUGGGGGCUGAGAAGCCCUUUCCUAACCCGGAAUUUGCUGAGCGAUUUUGAGGAAACCAAAUUGUUCACCUCAAUCUGAGUGAAUAGAAAGCUUGUAAUUGCUUUUAAAAA